rnacentral:rRNA from 1 species
GACGAACGCUGGCGGCGUGCCUAAUACAUGCAAGUUGAGCGAUGAAGAUUGGUGCUUGCACCAAUUUGAAGAGCAGCGAACGGGUGAGUAACGCGUGGGGAAUCUGCCUUUGAGCGGGGGACAACAUUUGGAAACGAAUGCUAAUACCGCAUAACAACUUUAAACAUAAGUUUUAAGUUUGAAAGAUGCAAUUGCAUCACUCAAAGAUGAUCCCGCGUUGUAUUAGCUAGUUGGUGAGGUAAAGGCUCACCAAGGCGAUGAUACAUAGCCGACCUGAGAGGGUGAGCGGCCACAUUGGGACUGAGACACGGCCCAAACUCCUACGGGAGGCAGCAGUAGGGAAUCUUCGGCAAUGGACGAAAGUCUGACCGAGCGACGCCGCGUGAGUGAAGAAGGUUUUCGGAUCGUAAAACUCGGUUGGUAGAGAAGAACGUUGGUGAGAGUGGAAAGCUCAUCAAGUGACGGUAACUACCCAGAAAGGGACGGCUAACUACGUG